UACGGCCUAUAAGUAUGAAUUAAAAUUUUUGAACAGAUUUGAGACAGGUCUUACUUGACUAAACUAAGAUUAAACAUGAUAAAUCAACACUUCAAAAAAAUAUUGAUUCCCGGGGACGCAAAUCCGACUCUGGCGAAAAUUGUAAAUAAAAGCCUAGUCAAAUCAUACCAGAUUUUCACUAUUUCAUAUGCGUCAACUUCAAUCGAUAAAUGCUUUGCGUUAACGUGGGUUUUCCCAAACAACUCCGAUUGGUUCCGAAACUAGACUUAUUUGGAAAUGUUUUUACCAUAUAAGGAAGCCAUGGGCGGGCCUUAUCUAUUAAUGAGAACUAUAAAUAGAGUUGAUGCAAUUUUGCUAAGCGACGCUAAAACGUGGUUACGCUUUGAAACGAUAGGUGGCGCUGCGCAAAGCAAAUGCGGAAGUAAGAUCGAAAAAUCGCGAUAUAACGGACAAAUCGUCUGUCGGCUGUCCUACUGUUACUUCCUCCUUUCUCUCUUAUUUCUACGCCACAAAAAGCACAAAUCGACACUAACAGUAGACCUCAAAUCAGCGAAGACUAUUUUGUUCCUAAAAUCGACCGAUCCCACUCAUCUACACGUCACAACUGUAUACGAAAGUAACGAAGCAGUCUGGUGACCAUGAAGUAUUUACCUAAGAGACA